rnacentral:rRNA from 1 species
GAUGAACGCUAGCGGCAGGCUUAACACAUGCAAGUCGAGGGGUAACAGGGCGUAGCAAUACGCCGCUGACGACCGGCGCACGGGUGCGUAACGCGUAUACAACCUACCUGUAACAGGGGGAUAACGGAGUGAAAACUCCACUAAUACCCCAUAUUGACGAGUCUUCGCAUGGGGAAUCGUCGAAAGCUUCGGUGGUUACGGAUGGGUAUGCGUGACAUUAGGUAGUUGGCGGGGCAACGGCCCACCAAGCCGACGAUGUCUACGGGAGCUGAGAGGCUAGUCCCCCACACUGGUACUGAGACACUGACCAGACUCCUACGGGAGGCAGCAGUGAGGAAUAUUGGUCAAUGGACGGAGGUCUGAACCAGCCAUGCCGCGUGAGGGAAGAAGGUCCUAUGGGUUGUAAACCUCUUUUGCUCCGGAGCAAUAAGGCGGAUGCGUCCGCCGACGAGAGUACGGGGCGAAUAAGCAUCGGCUAACUCCGUGCCAGCAGCCGCGGUAAUACGGAGGAUGCAAGCGUUAUCCGGAUUUAUUGGGUUUAAAGGGUGCGCAGGCGGCGCGAUAAGUCAGCGGUGAAAUGUACCGGCUCAACCGGUGAGCUGCCGUUGAUACUGUCGUGCUUGAGUGCGAGCGGCGCCGGCGGAAUGUGUGAUGUAGCGGUGAAAUGCAUAGAUAUCACACAGAACACCGAUCGCGAAGGCAGCUGGCGAGGACGUUACUGACGCUGAGGCACGAAAGCGUGGGGAUCAAACA